rnacentral:rRNA from 1 species
GAUGAACGCUGGCGGCGUGCCUAAUACAUGCAAGUCGAGCGAACGGACGAGAAGCUUGCUUCUCUGAUGUUAGCGGCGGACGGGUGAGUAACACGUGGAUAACCUACCUAUAAGACUGGGAUAACUUCGGGAAACCGGAGCUAAUACCGGAUAAUAUUUUGAACCGCAUGGUUCAAAAGUGAAAGACGGUCUUGCUGUCACUUAUAGAUGGAUCCGCGCUGCAUUAGCUAGUUGGUAAGGUAACGGCUUACCAAGGCAACGAUGCAUAGCCGACCUGAGAGGGUGAUCGGCCACACUGGAACUGAGACACGGUCCAGACUCCUACGGGAGGCAGCAGUAGGGAAUCUUCCGCAAUGGGCGAAAGCCUGACGGAGCAACGCCGCGUGAGUGAUGAAGGUCUUCGGAUCGUAAAACUCUGUUAUUAGGGAAGAACAUACGUGUAAGUAACUGUGCACAUCUUGACGGUACCUAAUCAGAAAGCCACGGCUAACUACGUGCCAGCAGCCGCGGUAAUACGUAGGUGGCAAGCGUUAUCCGGAAUUAUUGGGCGUAAAGCGCGCGUAGGCGGUUUUUUAAGUCUGAUGUGAAAGCCCACGGCUCAACCGUGGAGGGUCAUUGGAAACUGGAAAACUUGAGUGCAGAAGAGGAAAGUGGAAUUCCAUGUGUAGCGGUGAAAUGCGCAGAGAUAUGGAGGAACACCAGUGGCGAAGGCGACUUCCUGGUCUGUAACUGACGCUGAUGUGCGAAAGCGUGGGGAUCAAACAGGAUUAGAUACCCUGGUAGUCCACGCCGUAAACGAUGAGUGCUAAGUGCUAGGGGGUUUCCGCCCCUUAGUGCUGCAGCUAACGCAUUAAGCACUCCGCCUGGGGAGUACGACCGCAAGGUUGAAACUCAAAGGAAUUGACGGGGACCCGCACAAGCGGUGGAGCAUGUGGUUUAAUUCGAAGCAACGCGAAGAACCUUACCAAAUCUUGACAUCCUUUGACAACUCUAGAGAUAGAGCUUUCCCCUUCGGGGGACAAAGUGACAGGUGGUGCAUGGUUGUCGUCAGCUCGUGUCGUGAGAUGUUGGGUUAAGUCCCGCAACGAGCGCAACCCUUAAGCUUAGUCGCCAUCAUUAAGUUGGGCACUCUAAGUUGACUGCCGGUGACAAACCGGAGGAAGGUGGGGAUGACGUCAAAUCAUCAUGCCCCUUAUGAUUUGGGCUACACACGUGCUACAAUGGACAAUACAAAGGGCAGCGAAACCGCGAGGUCAAGCAAAUCCCAUAAAGUUGUUCUCAGUUCGGAUUGUAGUCUGCAACUCGACUACAUGAAGCUGGAAUCGCUAGUAAUCGUAGAUCAGCAUGCUACGGUGAAUACGUUCCCGGGUCU